rnacentral:rRNA from 1 species
AUUGAACGCUGGCGGCAGGCCUAACACAUGCAAGUCGAACGGUAGCACAGAGGAGCUUGCUCCUUGGGUGACGAGUGGCGGACGGGUGAGUAAUGUCUGGGAAACUGCCCGAUGGAGGGGGAUAACUACUGGAAACGGUAGCUAAUACCGCAUAACGUCGCAAGACCAAAGAGGGGGACCUUCGGGCCUCUUGCCAUCGGAUGUGCCCAGAUGGGAUUAGCUAGUAGGUGGGGUAACGGCUCACCUAGGCGACGAUCCCUAGCUGGUCUGAGAGGAUGACCAGCCACACUGGAACUGAGACACGGUCCAGACUCCUACGGGAGGCAGCAGUGGGGAAUAUUGCACAAUGGGCGCAAGCCUGAUGCAGCCAUGCCGCGUGUAUGAAGAAGGCCUUCGGGUUGUAAAGUACUUUCAGCGAGGAGGAAGGCGUUGUGGUUAAUAACCGCAACGAUUGACGUUACUCGCAGAAGAAGCACCGGCUAACUCCGUGCCA